rnacentral:rRNA from 1 species
UACGAAGGGGGCUAGCGUUGCUCGGAAUCACUGGGCGUAAAGCGCACGUAGGCGGAUUGCUAAGUCAGGGGUGAAAUCCUGGAGCUCAACUCCAGAACUGCCUUUGAUACUGGCAAUCUCGAGUCCGGGAGAGGUGAGUGGAACUGCGAGUGUAGAGGUGAAAUUCGUAGAUAUUCGCAAGAACACCAGUGGCGAAGGCGGCUCACUGGCCCGGUACUGACGCUGAGGCGCGAAAGCGUGGGGAGCAAACAGG